rnacentral:siRNA from 1 species
ACCAAAGUGCAGUUUAUCUUUUGG